rnacentral:lncRNA from 1 species
UGGACCUUUAUGAGGCAUCCCUUGGGUGUACUUUGGGAUGUGUUUAUAUGGGUGUAAGGGCUCUAAGAGUUGGUGCCUAAAAGGAUUUCUAAAGAAAGUUGAAUAACCUAAGUUAAUAAGAAACCUAAUACAAGUAGGACUUAUAUUAUGAGAUUGAAUAGGAUUCAAUCUUUAUGGCUAUUUAAAGAGACCUCUCCUAAGAUUCUUAAGCAUCUAAACCAGCAAAUUCAAGCCAAAUCCAUAUUUGAAUUUGGAGUCGGACCUCCCCAAUGGCUAUUAUUCAUUUUUAACCAGCUAAAAGCAAAUUCAAGCCAUUCUAACUAACAUGGAAAAAUGAAGAAAUAGUUUUUUUUUUGUAGCUAUAGGUAACAUCGCCAUAUUCCAAGAUACUACAUAUAAAGACCAUAUGAUCAAGUAAGUUAAUAUAU